rnacentral:rRNA from 1 species
GAUGAACGCUAGCGAUAGGCUUAACACAUGCAAGUCGAGGGGCAGCAUGGUCUUAGCUUGCUAAGACUGAUGGCGACCGGCGCACGGGUGCGUAACGCGUAUGCAACUGGCCUCACAGAGGGGGAUAACCCGUCGAAAGACGGACUAAUACCGCGUACACUUGGGAUAGGGCAUCCUGACCCAAGGAAAUGAAAUUCGCUGUGAGAUAGGCAUGCGUCCCAUUAGCUAGUUGGUGAGGUAACGGCUCACCAAGGCGACGAUGGGUAGGGGAACUGAGAGGUUGAACCCCCACACUGGUACUGAGACACGGACCAGACUCCUACGGGAGGCAGCAGUGAGGAAUAUUGGUCAAUGGGCGAGAGCCUGAACCAGCCAAGUCGCGUGAAGGAUGACUGUCUUAUGGAUUGUAAACUUCUUUUAUACGGGAAUAACAAGAGCCACGUGUGGCUCCCUGCAUGUACCGUAUGAAUAAGCAUCGGCUAACUCCGUG